rnacentral:rRNA from 1 species
CGGACAACGCGUUGCAAACCAGUAAUGGUAAGCUAAUCGCAUAAAAUCGACCUCAGUACGGAUUGAGGGUUGCAAUUCACCCUCAUGAAGCUGGAGUUGCUAGUAACCGCAGGUCAGCUAUACUGCGAUGAAUACGUUCCCGGGGCUU